rnacentral:rRNA from 1 species
CCUACGGGUGGCUGCAGUGAGGAAUAUUGGUCAAUGGGCGCGAGCCUGAACCAGCCAAGUAGCGUGAAGGAUGACUGCCCUACGGGUUGUAAACUUCUUUUAUUAGGGAAUAAAGUGAGGCCCGUGUGCCUUGUUGUAUGUGUUUUAUGAAUAAGGAUAGGUUAAAUCUGUGCGAGCACCCGCGGUAAUACGGAGGGUCCGGGCGUUAUCCGGAUUUAUUGGGUUUAAAGGGAGCGUAGAUGGGUUGUUAAGGCAGUUGGGAAAGUUCGCGGCUCAACCGUAAGAUUGCAGUUGAAACUGGCAGCCUUGAGUGCACGUGAGGUAGGCGGAAUUCGUGGUGUAGCGGUGAAAUGCUUAGAUAUCACGAAGAACUCCGAUUGCGAAGGCAGCAUACCAGGGUGCCACUGACGCUGAGGCUCGAAAGUGUGGGUAUCAAACAGGAUUAGAUACCCGAGUAGUC